rnacentral:tRNA from 1 species
AAGACACCGGCUUGCCAUGCCGGUAACCCGGGGUCAAAUCCCGGCGGUCGCA